GUGCCAGCAGCCGCGGUAAGACGUAGGAGGCGAGCGUUGUCCGGAUUCAUUGGGCGUAAAGAGCGCGCAGGCGGCUUGGUAAGUCGGAUGUGAAAAUCCGAGGCUCAACCUCGGACGUGCAUCCGAUACUGCUCGGCUAGAGGUAGGUAGGGGAGAUCGGAAUUCCUGGUGUAGCGGUGAAAUGCGCAGAUAUCAGGAGGAACACCGGUGGCGAAGGCGGAUCUCUGGGCCUUACCUGACGCUCAGGCGCGAAAGCUAGGGGAGCGAACUGGAUUAGAAACCCUCGUAGUCC
rnacentral:rRNA from 1 species